rnacentral:rRNA from 1 species
GAUACCAUUUGGAAACAGGUGCUAAUACCGGAUAAUAAAGCAGAUCGCAUGAUCAGCUUUUGAAAGGCGGCGUACGCUGUCGCUAAGGGAUGGCCCCGCGGUGCAUUAGCUAGUUGGUAAGGUAACGGCUUACCAAGGCGACGAUGCAUAGCCGAGUUGAGAGACUGAUCGGCCACAUUGGGACUGAGACACGGCCCAAACUCCUACGGGAGGCAGCAGUAGGGAAUCUUCCACAAUGGACGCAAGUCUGAUGGAGCAACGCCGCGUGAGUGAAGAAGGUUUUCGGAUCGUAAAGCUCUGUUGUUGGUGAAGAAGGAUAGAGGUAGUAACUGGCCUUUAUUUGACGGUAAUCAACCAGAAAGUCACGGCUAACUACGUGCCAGCAGCCGCGGUAAUACGUAGGUGGCAAGCGUUGUCCGGAUUUAUUGGGCGUAAAGCGAGCGCAGGCGGAAAAAUAAGUCUAAUGUGAAAGCCCUCGGCUUAACCGAGGAACUGCAUCGGAAACUGUUUUUCUUGAGUGCAGAAGAGGAGAGUGGAACUCCAUGUGUAGCGGUGGAAUGCGUAGAUAUAUGGAAGAACACCAGUGGCGAAG